UCUACAAACUGUCCCCUCGGAGCACGUGUCCUCUAUAAAUGAAGUAGCUCUCCUCAGGGGGAGCCGUAAGGGCUGGGACAAACCCCACCGUGGCUCCUGGGGAAAAGGAGCGAGGAGGGUCCCAAGAGGUGUGGAAGCAACCUGUGAGCAGUGUGUAAACUCGAAUCAACACCAUUCACCACAAGGGACAGCGCGGACUGAAGCUGACCGCACCAACAGGAAGCCCUCGGAAGGCGGAGUUGCCGUCCACCCUUCGCUUGUAAGUCUGCAUCUCCGAUCCCAUUCCCGCAGUCUGGCACUUGCAUCCUUGUUAGAGGCCACCCCCAGCCCGCUGGGAAGGAGGCGAGGAAUGGAAAAAGAGCAGCCUCUCCGCCUUGGCCACAUCAGGGAGCCAGGGUCAGGCCUGCUGGUUCCGGGGUGAAG
rnacentral:lncRNA from 1 species